CAGCGCCACAAGUGGGGACCAGUAUUAUUGGGCCUAAAGCGUUCGUAGCCGGUUAAAUAAAUCUUCUGUGAAAUUGUUGGGCUUAACCUAACAUCGUGCAGAAGACACUAUUUAACUCGAGACCGGGAGGAGUUAGAGGUAUUCGGAGGGUAGCGGUAAAAUGCAAUAAUCCUACGAGGACCACCAGUGGCGAAGGCGUCUAACUAGAACGGGUCCGACGGUGAGGAACGAAAGCCAGGGGAGCGAACCGGAUUAGAUACCCGAGUAGUCC
rnacentral:rRNA from 1 species